AUUGAACGCUGGCGGCAGGCCUAACACAUGCAAGUCGAGCGGAUGAGGAAAGCUUGCUUUUCGAUUCAGCGGCGGACGGGUGAGUAAUGCCUAGGAAUCUGCCUGUUAGUGGGGGAUAACUCGGGGAAACUCGGGCUAAUACCGCAUACGUCCUACGGGAGAAAGUGGGGGAGCUUCGGACCUCACGCUAACCGAUGAGCCUAGGUCGGAUUAGCUAGUAGGUGAGGUAAUGGCUCACCUAGGCGACGAUCCGUAACUGGUCUGAGAGGACGAUCAGUCACACUGGAACUGAGACACGGUCCAGACUCCUACGGGAGGCAGCAGUGGGGAAUAUUGGACAAUGGGCGAAAGCCUGAUCCAGCCAUGCCGCGUGUGUGAAGAAGGUCUUCGGAUUGUAAAGCACUUUAAGUUGGGAGGAAGGGUAUUCACCUAAUACGUGGGUACUUUGACGUUACCAACAGAAUAAGCACCGGCUAACUCUGUGCCAGCCGCCGCCGUAAAAC
rnacentral:rRNA from 1 species